GACGAACGCUGGCGGCGCGCCUCAUACAUGCAAGUCGAACGAGAAGCCUGGAGCUUGCUCUGGGUGGAGAGUGGCGAACGGGUGAGGAACACGUGAGGAACCUGCCCCGAAGACUGGGAUAACACCGGGAAACCGGUGCUAAUACCGGAUGUCCUCAUCGGACCGCAUGAUCCGAUGAGGAAAUGGAUUCCGCUUCGGGAUGGCCUCGCGGCCUAUCAGCUUGUUGGUGGGGUAACGGCCCACCAAGGCUUCGACGGGUAGCUGGUCUGAGAGGAUGUCCAGCCACACUGGGACUGAGACACGGCCCAGACUCCUACGGGAGGCAGCAGUAGGGAAUCUUGCGCAAUGAGCGAAAGCUUGACGCAGCGACGCCGCGUGCGGGAUGAAGGCCCUCGGGUCGUAAACCGCUUUCAGCAGGGACGAAAUUGCGGUACCUG
rnacentral:rRNA from 1 species